CUCAGGGGCUGUGUGCACAUGGCCUGGACUCCUCUCCUCCUCGUGCUCCUCUCUCACUGCACAGGUUCUCUCUCCCAGCCUGUGCUGACUCAGCCGCCCUCCCUCUCUGCAUCUCCUGGAGCAACAGCCAGACUCACCUGCACCCUCAGCAGUGGCUUCAAUGUUGCCGACUACAACAUUCGCUGGUUCCAGCAAAAGCCAGGGAGCCCUCCCCGGUAUCUCCUGAGAUUCAAAUCAGACUCAGACAAGUACCAGGGCUCAGGGGUCCCCAGCCGCUUCUCUGGAUCCAAAGACACCUCGGCCAAUGCAGGGCUCCUGACCAUCUCUGGGCUGCAGCCUGAGGACGAGGCUGACUAUUACUGUGCUACAUAUCAUAACAACUCUAAUACUUACACAGUGCUUCUGACACAUGGGGAAGUGAGAUGAAAACCUCCUUACUGC